rnacentral:rRNA from 1 species
UACGGGGGGGGCAAGCGUUGUUCGGAAUUACUGGGCGUAAAGGGCUCGUAGGCGGCCAACUAAGUCAGACGUGAAAUCCCUCGGCUUAACCGGGGAACUGCGUCUGAUACUGGAUGGCUUGAGUUUGGGAGAGGGAUGCGGAAUUCCAGGUGUAGCGGUGAAAUGCGUAGAUAUCUGGAGGAACACCGGUGGCGAAGGCGGCAUCCUGGACCAACACUGACGCUGAGUGAGCGAAAGCCAGGGGAGCAA